UAUUAUUAUUAAGGUAAAAAGUUAUGCUUAGGUAGUAGUAGAUUAAAUCUUGAAACUUAAAGAAUUUGGCGGUAUCUUAGUCUUUUCAGAGGAAUCUGUUCCGUUAUUGAUAAUACACGAUUAGUUARACUUAAUUUUGUGAUCAGUUUGUAUACCGUCGUCAUAAGAAUAUUUUGUAAAGAAGUUAAAUUUUCUUUUCUUUUGAUUGAAAGAUAUGUCAGAUCAAGGUGCAGCUAAUAAUUAAGUGGUAAUGGAUUACAAUAAYUUUAGUUAUGGAGGAUAAUAAUUUAAAUUAUUUAUUUGAAAAUGGAUUUGAUUGUAAGUUUAAAUUAAUUUUAUUCUGAUUUUGGCUCUAGGAUGUGUACAUAUCGCCCGUCGCUCUCAUUUAAUAUGAG
rnacentral:rRNA from 1 species